AUUGAACGCUGGCGGCAGGCCUAACACAUGCAAGUCGAGCGGAUGAAGGGAGCUUGCUCCUGGAUUCAGCGGCGGACGGGUGAGUAAUGCCUAGGAAUCUGCCUGGUAGUGGGGGAUAACGUCCGGAAACGGGCGCUAAUACCGCAUACGUCCUGAGGGAGAAAGUGGGGGAUCUUCGGACCUCACGCUAUCAGAUGAGCCUAGGUCGGAUUAGCUAGUUGGUGGGGUAAAGGCCUACCAAGGCGACGAUCCGUAACUGGUCUGAGAGGAUGAUCAGUCAAAAGGGAACAGAGGAAGGGUCCGAGAUCCGACGGGAGGGCGCAGGGGGGAAUAUUGGGAAAUGGGGGAAAGCCUGAACCAGCCAUGCCGGGGGUGUGAAGAAGGUUUUCGGAUUGGAAAGCACUUUAAGUUGGGAGGAAGGGCAGUAAGUUAAAACCUUGCUGGUUUGACGUUACCAACAGAAGAAGCAACGGCUAACUUCGU
rnacentral:rRNA from 1 species